GGGCUCCUGGUGCUCAAACUCUACCCAGUGCAGAAGAGACCCUCCUCCUGGUUGCCUGUAGAAGAGAGAGUCUCCCUCUGGUUGCCCUCAGAUCAAGAGGUAGAACUCUCAGUUCCUUCUCCAGCACCAUGUCUGUCUGAACACAGCAUGCCUCCUGCCGUAAUGAUCAUGGACUGACCCUCUGAAACUCCCUUGUCCUCCAUGGAUAGGUCUUGCCUCAGUCCGAGAGUCUGAAUCAUCGGACAUCACUCUGUCUAUCAGCUGGAGCCCACGGAAAUGUCAAGAAGCCACCAGAAUACCACCCAAAGUUCUUUCUGUGUGUUUCUCUCUAUGGAGUCACCACAAAUGGAACUCAACAACACAACGUAAGGCGAACCAAAUCAAUGGGUGUUGUGAGUGAAGCCUUCGUCACACGUUCUUUCACAUGCUUGCUUAGGCAAAACAUCUUUCCACCUGUGUCUACUUCAGGAAAACACUCCCUCAUGGGUGUGCUCCAGCAAAACACCGUCAGAUGCAACUCGAUUUCCAAAUAAACCAGAAGUUUCUACUUCACUAG